rnacentral:rRNA from 1 species
CAUGGCUCAGAACGAACGCUGGCGGCAGGCUUAACACAUGCAAGUCGAGCGAGACCUUUCGGGUCUAGCGGCGGACGGGUGAGUAACGCGUGGGAACGUGCCCUUCUCUACGGAAUAGCCCCGGGAAACUGGGAGUAAUACCGUAUACGCCCUUUGGGGGAAAGAUUUAUCGGAGAAGGAUCGGCCCGCGUUGGAUUAGGUAGUUGGUGAGGUAACGGCUCACCAAGCCGACGAUCCAUAGCUGGUUUGAGAGGAUGAUCAGCCACACUGGGACUGAGACACGGCCCAGACUCCUACGGGAGGCAGCAGUGGGGAAUCUUAGACAAUGGGGGCAACCCUGAUCUAGCCAUGCCGCGUGAGUGAUGAAGGCCUUAGGGUUGUAAAGCUCUUUCAGCUGGGAAGAUAAUGACGGACCACAAAGAG